AGCUCUUUAACAAUUUGGAAAGCUGACUGAUAACAACGAACGUGUUUGUUGUUAUCAAAUAAAAGUUCUCAACAUCAAUGCGUUUAACGUGUUGAUACCAAACACAUUCAAGUGUUCUUGGGAAAGCUUACUUCGGUAAGUUUUCAAAAUUGAGUCCGGCAAAAUCAAACGUCUCUCGCUCAUUCAAAUAAUGAGAGACAACCUUGGUGACUUGUCUGCAACACGAAACUUCUUCGGGUUGUAUGGUUAAGUGGCUAACCG
rnacentral:misc_RNA from 1 species